GUGCUCACUUCAGCAGCACACAUUCUAAAACUGGAAUGAUUCAGAGAUUAGUGUGGUCCAGGCAAAGAUGACAUACAUAAAUUUGUAAAGUGUUCUAUAUUU
ensembl:snRNA U6 U6 spliceosomal RNA